ACUCAUGGAACGUCUCUCGUCCAAUCAGAAACAGCUAAAUAAUUCGAUAGAACCCAAUUGUUUUAUAAUUGGGGUAUAAUUGGGGUCAUGGGAGCUAUGUCCUACUAGAUGAGGUACUGUAUAAACUGAUCUAUCAUCAGUUUAGCCCUUAAAAAUCAUCAUGAGGGUUCAGAUAUAUAGAUAAUCAGGACCAGAAGAAUUUUGCGCAAGGGUUGAAACCUGUUUGAACUGUGAAGACAUUCAUGUCAUGUCAUGAGAAACUAUCUUCUAGUUCUGUGGAAGGGCUUGGCUUAGAGAUGUUAAUUUCUUCAUGGCUGAACAUAAAUGAGGGCAAAUGCAAGAAACCAAACCCAAGAUAAAAAUGUAUCCUAAGAAUGUAAUGAUUUAUAAAGAGAUUCUGGAGAAAGGUACAAGCCUCGGGCAAAAAGGCAAUACUACUAUUCAAGUCAAUAAUGAUAUCCAAUAAUAUGGUAUCAAAGUAAAAUUGUAAAAAAAGUUUAAAAAAAAAAAA